AUUAAGAGCUUGCUCUUAUGAAGUUAGCGGCGGACGGGUGAGUAACACGUGGGUAACCUACCCAUAAGACUGGGAUAACUCCGGGAAACCGGGGCUAAUACCGGAUAAUAUUUUGAACUGCAUAGUUCGAAAUUGAAAGGCGGCUUCGGCUGUCACUUAUGGAUGGACCCGCGUCGCAUUAGCUAGUUGGUGAGGUAACGGCUCACCAAGGCAACGAUGCGUAGCCGACCUGAGAGGGUGAUCGGCCACACUGGGACUGAGACACGGCCCAGACUCCUACGGGAGGCAGCAGUAGGGAAUCUUCCGCAAUGGACGAAAGUCUGACGGAGCAACGCCGCGUGAGUGAUGAAGGCUUUCGGGUCGUAAAACUCUGUUGUUAGGGAAGAACAAGUGCUAGUUGAAUAAGCUGGCACCUUGACGGUACCUAACCAGAAAGCCACGGCUAACUACGUGCCAGCAGCCGCGGUAAUACGUAGGUGGCAAGCGUUAUCCGGAAUUAUUGGGCGUAAAGCGCGCGCAGGUGGUUUCUUAAGUCUGAUGUGAAAGCCCACGGCUCAACCGUGGAGGGUCAUUGGAAACUGGGAGACUUGAGUGCAGAAGAGGAAAGUGGAAUUCCAUGUGUAGCGGUGAAAUGCGUAGAGAUAUGGAGGAACACCAGUGGCGAAGGCGACUUUCUGGUCUGUAACUGACACUGAGGCGC
rnacentral:rRNA from 1 species